rnacentral:tRNA from 1 species
GGCAACCUGGCCGAGUGGUCUAAGGCGCUAGAUUUAGGCUCUAGUCUUUCGGGGCGUGAGUUCGAAUCUCACGGUUGUCA